rnacentral:tRNA from 1 species
GCCGCGGUGGCGAAACCGGUAUACGCGCGAGACUUAAAAUCUCGUGGUCGUAAAAUCGACCAUGUGGGUUCGAGUCCCACCCGCGGCA